rnacentral:tRNA from 1 species
CAAACUUUAAAUAAGCUGGGAGAGCGCCUGCUUUGCACGCAGGAGGUCAGCGGUUCGAUCCCGCUAGGCUCCA